UUUCUCCGUCAUACAUCAUGUCUCUUGACGAGCUGAUGGAUAAAGCGAAACAGCUUACAGAGGACUUGGAUCCAGAAGGCGACACCACCAAACAACCUACGAAGAGGAAGAAGUCCGGCGAAUCUUCUGUGGUGUGGCGGAAACGGGACUCGAGAGGGCAGCUGGUUUCUCAGCGCCCAGGUCAAGGAACGUCGCAUAAACCUAUACAGAAAAGAAGGGCUGCUCAGACUACAGGAGCUUCUCAUGAAGAACCAGGACCAUAAGGCUUUAUCCUCCCAAGACAUUUGGCACCCUAGGCAACCGUCUUGUUUGUGCUUUACUGUAAUGUGUAUUUGUUUCAUGAUAUUUUGUUCACUUUCUGUAAGUAAUAUUGGAAUUUUAUAUGUUCUAUCAUACUAUAAACAGUAGAUGUACUGUACCUCCUGUAGUCAAGAGUAAAAAAAUGUGUCUUACUGGAAUCAUCUUGAAUGUCAACAACAUAUGAGGUCACAGUCCUGUUGCAUUUGGAAAUUUAGUGCAAGCAGUGAAUUGCAUAAUUUAAAUUCAUGCAAUAGGCUACAUGUAAAACUGAAACAUAAAAGUCUAUGCAACUUUUGUAAUGUUCUCAAUAGCCAGUGUUUUGAAGUCUUGUGUUAUUUGAUUGACUCAAUGUACCUUGUGAAAUGACAACAUGUGUUAUUUUUUGACAGAUGUAUUUCAUUUUGAGCCAUAUAUCUAGUGUUUUGGUAAAGUGAGUGUGUACAGAAAAAGAUGUGAUCUAUUUUGAAAUGAGUACUUUG